CCAUCUGUGUCUGCAUCUGGAUCUCGCCUUGUGCCCAUAUAAGCAAGAUUGUUGCUUGGAAUGCAGGGCCAGGAAUACAUAGAUUAGAUCAUGGAAAUACUGCCAAAAACAUCCUGCUCAAAAUCCUGGUAGUUCUCGAUUUUUGGGCUAUUGUCUUUAGUGUUAUUUUUGUCAGUGACUAAAGGAAGACAAGCUACCUAAAUGUGACUUAUUGGCUAGUACUGAAGCAGGACAUGUUUUUAGCCCAAAGCCUUGUAUUUAAGCAAAACAACAGCUGAAGAAGGGAACCAUGAAGAGGAGCUUGGAGUGGGCAAGGGGGAGGCUGAUAACGCAGCAGAGAAGACCUGAUUCAUCAAGUAUUCUCACUUGGUUGGCAUGCACAACACAGCAAGACACUUCAAUCCGACACUCUUGUUAAUGUUUGACGUCAGGCAAAACGUACUCAGCCACCGUAGGAUGGAGAGCAGCUGGUUGGCAUUUUUGACUGCAGUGUCUGUGUGGGUGUACUAGGAAAGGACGUUAGAAGUUAGGUCCCCAUGAUAUCGAAACUUCUUACCAUCUCCACUGCAGCCCAGUCGAUAUCGAUUUUAAAAACUGGAACAGUAGAUAUCGUGUAGCACAUGGUAGCAAAUAUUCACUGGACCAACUCCAGUUUGCUUAUCAUCCCAACAAAUGUCAAGUAUACAUUUUACAUAAGUCCGUGUGUUUUCAUUUAUAGCUCUGCUUUCAACAUCAUCUUGACCCACAAAAUGGUUAGCAGACUCAGGUCUCUGGGGGUACAAUUUUUUUUUUUUUUACAUUAUCACAAGAAUGUGUAUCCCAGAAUGGACCCAACACCUACACAUGCUGACAACACUACCAUGAUACACCUGAUCACCAGUGAUCAUGAGUACAUGAAGGAGCUGUGGGACCUGACACGAUGGUGAUAGGACAACAGUCUCAGCAUAAGCAAAACAAAGUAGAUGGUGAUACUUGACCAUUCUCCCAUCUACUGUAAAUUGACAUGAAAAUGAUCAGUAGCUUCAAGUUCCUGGGCACCCUGACAUCCUUUUCUGCCCUCAGUCACCACUCAAAGUCCCACCAGUGCUUCUCCACUUUCCUCAUCAACUUGCUGCACCACGACCUAUGAACCAACUACAGUGUCUGUUUUUAUUGCCUUAACACAUGUAAAUGGAAUGGCCAUAUUUACUGUAAUAUUUAUGGUAACAUUGCACAUAUUGUAACAUAGUCCCUUGACAUACAUGACUUAACUACUGUUCCUAAUGCUCAGUUUACCCACUAAGAAAUCAUACAUUUAUUGAAAUAUUAAA